UGAGGAAAGAAGUCGGUUUACAUAAAGGACAUAAACUCUGCCACAAUGUGAAGAACACCCCACAGCCCUGUUUACCUUUAACUAGCACCACUGACAGAACCAUCAACUCUUAAAGGGGAAUGGAAACGCUAUCCACUCUUAAAGGGGAAUGGAAACGCUAUCCACUCUUAAAGGGGAAUGGAAACGCUAUCCACUCUUAAAGGGGAUGAGACCAUCCUGUUACAAUGGUAAGUAUAAGGUCAUACUGAAAACUAGCUCCAAUGAUGCAAUUCCUUUGGCUUCCACAGGGUGUCAGCAGUCUAUGUUCAAGGUUUCAGGCUUGUAACUUCAAAAACGAAUAAGAAACAUCAGUUUUAGUACAGGAACACGGUCUUGGAAAUUCGUGUUGGCGUGCGCCAUGAAGACAGGACCUGCUAAAAUCAGUUUCCAUAAGACAUAUUAUAGUUUGAUUACAUUUUAGGGUAUCUGAGGAUUAAAUAGAAACAUAUUUUGACUUGUUGAAACAAAGUUUAUGGGUAAUUUUUUGAUUCCUUUCUCUGAAUGUUGAACGAGUGGAUUACUCAAAUCGAUGGCGCCAACUAAACAGACUUUUUGGGAUAUAAAGAAGGAUUUUAUCUAACAAAACGACACUCACUGCAUGUUAUAGCUGGGACCCUUUGGAUGACAAAUCAGAGGAAGAUAUUCAAAAAGUGAAUAUUUAAAUUGCCAUUUGUGAAUUUAUAAAACCUGUGCCGGUGGAAAAAUAUUUGAUGUGGGGCGCCGUCCUCAAACAAUCACAUGGCAUGUUUUCACUGUAAUGCCUACUGUAAAUCAGACAGUGCAGUUAGAUUAACAAGAAUUUAAGCCUUCAACUGAUAUGAGACACUUAUGUGCCUAAAUGUUUAAUAUCCAUAAUUGUUAUGAUUAUUUAUUUGAAUUGUGCCCCCUCCAGUUUCCCCGGAAGUUGUCCAACUAGAGGGACGCCAAUCCCUAAGAAUUAAGAGGAAGGACGUGUCAGCUCGAGCUAGCAGGAUCUGCAGCCAGCACUUUGUGGAGGAAGGGCACUUUCGAUGCGGCAACCGGGAGUUUCCGAAUGGAAAGGAAUGAUAGGCCUCUGCUUGCCCCUCCAUUUUACAAUUAGAGGGUUAUGGUGUGUAGGGGUUACCGACCGACCAUCAGCAACGUCGCUGACUGAACGGAGGUGAUGACGCGAGUCAAUGGAGGUAACGUUAAACCGGUCAUGACUGUUGUUGACUGAACGGAGGCGAUGACGCGAGUCAAUGGAGGUAACGUUAAACCGGUCAUGACUGUUGACUGAACGGAGGCGAUGACACGAGUCAAUGGAGGUAACGUUAAACCGGUCAUGACUGUUGUUGACUGAACGGAGGCGAUGACACGAGUCAAUGGAGGUAACGUUAAACCGGUCAUGACUGUUGUUGACUGAACGGAGGCGAUGACACGAGUCAAUGGAGGUAACGUUAAACCGGUCAUGACUGUUGACUGAACGGAGGCGAUGACACGAGUCAAUGGAGGUAACGUUAAACCGGUCAUGACUGUUGACUGAACGGAGGCGAUGACGCGAGUCAAUGGAGGUAACGUUAAACCGGUCAUGACUGUUGUUGACUGAACGGAGGCGAUGACGCGAGUCAAUGGAGGUAACGUUAAACCGGUCAUGACUGUUGACUGAACGGAGGCGAUGACACGAGUCAAUGGAGGUAACGUUAAACCGGUCAUGACUGUUGUUGACUGAACGGAGGCGAUGACACGAGUCAAUGGAGGUAACGUUAAACCGGUCAUGACUGUUGUUGACUGAACGGAGGCGAUGACACGAGUCAAUGGAGGUAACGUUAAACCGGUCAUGACUGUUGACUGAACGGAGGCGAUGACACGAGUCAAUGGAGGUAACGUUAAACCGGUCAUGACUGUUGUUGACUGAACGGAGGCGAUGACACGAGUCAAUGGAGGUAACGUUAAACCGGUCAUGACUGUUGUUGACUGAACGGAGGCGAUGACACGAGUCAAUGGAGGUAACGUUAAACCGGUCAUGACUGUUGACUGAACGGAGGCGAUGACACGAGUCAAUGGAGGUAACGUUAAACCGGUCAUGACUGUUGUUGACUGAACGGAGGCGAUGACACGAGUCAAUGGAGGUAACGUUAAACCGGUCAUGACUGUUGUUGACUGAACGGAGGCGAUGACACGAGUCAAUGGAGGUAACGUUAAACCGGUCAUGACUGUUGUUGACUGAACGGAGGCGAUGACACGAGUCAAUGGAGGUAACGUUAAACCGGUCAUGACUGUUGUUGACUAGGCGUUAGACACUGGACAUCUUUGUUGCAAAUCUAGUUGAAGGUAACAAGCAAAUUGUGUCUGAUGUGUUUUGUGUAACACCUCAGUAACUAGCGUUAGCAAGCAACUGCAACACAGUUCCUCCGUAUAGCCCUGUUACUAGGUAGUCACUCUGUAGCCCUGUUACUAGGUAGUCACUCUGUAGCCCUGUUACUAGGUAGUCACUCUGUAGCCCUGUUACUAGGUAGUCACUCUGUAGCCCUGUUACUAGGUAGUCACUCUGUAGCCCUGUUACUAGGUAGUCACUCUGUAGCCCUGUUACUAGGUAGUCACUCUGUAGCCCUGUUACUAGGUAGUCACUCUGUAGCCCUGUUACUAGGUAGUCACUCUGUAGCCCUGUUACUAGGUAGUCACUCUGUACAUUUACUAAAUUAACUGGUUUCAUUCAAACUCAAACCCUAUGCAGAUGCCACUUGCUUCUGGGCAUGUUGCCUUAUGGAAGAGACGACACACACAGAGAUGAGAAGCCGUACACCUCGUCCAAUUCUCCCAUGUGCCCACAGGGAUGAGACGCCGUACACCUCGUCCCAUUCUCCCAUGUGCCCACAGGGAUGAGACACCUCGUCCCAUUCUCCCAUGUGCCCACAGGGAUGAGACACCUCGUCCCAUUCUCCCAUGUGCCCACAGGGAUGAGACGCCGUACACCUCGUCCCAUUCUCCCAUGUGCCCACAGGGAUGAGACACCUCGUCCAAUUCUCCCAUGUGCCCACAGGGAUGGGACACCUCGUCCCAUUCUCCCAUGUGCCCACAGGGAUGGGACAUCUCGUCUAAUUCUCCCACGUGCCCACAGGGAUGAGACACCUCGUCCCAUUCUCCCACGUGCCCACAGGGAUGAGACACCUCGUCCCAU